CGGGCGGGCCUCGGCUGCGUCAGCGCCCGGGGCGGGGCGGCCGGCCCCGGAAGGCUCCGCUCGCGGCGGCCCCGGUCACCCCGCCGCCGUGUCAUCUCCGACGUCAGUGUGAGUCGGGCCAGCAGCGUCAUUAUUCACAAUAGCUGAGAUAUGGAAUCAACCCAGGUGUCCAUCAAAAGAAAAAUUUUGUGUGCACACACGCUUGGGAAUACUGUUGAGUUGUAAGAAAGGAUUAAAUCCCGUCAUUUGUGGUGACACAGAGGGACCUGAAGAUCACAACAUUGAGUGGAACAAGCCAGGCACAGAAAGGAAAUAACGAUUUGAUACAAUGAAUAACCCGAAUACCC